ACCGCCUCCAGGAGCGUCGCUUCAUGACCCGGCGCCCCGCGCGUAGCGGAGCGGGGAGGCGCUCGCCUGGUCCGCGGCGGCGGCGGCUGUGCCCGCGGCCUGGCUGGGGGCUCCCCGCUCGCUUUUCCUCUUCUUUUCUCCCUCGGUUGUAUUUAUAUGCAAACGCGGCCCGCAAAAUGAGCCGUGGUAAAUGAGACUGAGAAGUAACGUAAGCUGCUUUUUAUUUACUUGAACGGCGCCUUGUUGGUUUUUUUUGGGUUUUUUUUCUUUCAAAAUGCAACUAAAGAAGUUAAUAUGACGGCUGUGCUUAAAAAUAUCAACCGCUGCUUUCCUUGUGAUCCUGGCGGAACAGAAAAUCAUCCGAGCUGCAGCGCCGCCGCGAUAGGACACAAACCCUCAUUCCGUCCUUCUGUGUUGCACUUAUUGCACUUGCAUGCUUACUUCUCCCCCUGUGUUCUCCCCAAAUGGUUCACAUUUUUCUGGAAGUGCAGCACCCGAGACUGGACACGGUGCUGCAGUAUUGCUGACCUGUUUUACCCCAGCAUCCAUUUCUGCAGAUCUACCCAGAUCUACCAAGCCAGUCGUUUCCCUCUCAAGUGGACAGUACUACUUGGGAAAUUAUUUAGUGAACAGCUCUAAUUGCUUCAUUUUUAUUACUGGAAAAAUGGACAAUCAAGCACUAAAAGCAUCUUUUAAAAUAAACUUCCACAAGAUUAUUUUUUAAGUCA
rnacentral:lncRNA from 1 species